CUUGGGCAACUGAGGAAUUCUUUUGUUUGAUGGGUAAUUUGCGUCUGAUAAUCUUUCCCUGAUGCUAUCACCUUGGAGAACUGAUGCCCUUU
rnacentral:snoRNA from 2 species